CUGAAGCCAAAACCCUGAUCCCUUAUUACAUAAACGUCCCAUAUGCACAGGUAAAUCCAACUUUUCAGACACCAUUAUUAAACUUUUCUCAGUCAUGUUUGGGAGGCAUGGUAGCUACUGCUGCUGCAUAUGCCUGUGCUGCAUCACCUACUUCUUUAUCUUCCUAGCCUUCAUCAUAUUCUGGUUGAUCUUCCUUCCCCAAGAACCCAAGUUAGUCAUCACCGAUGCCUCUCUCACACAAUUCAAUUUCACCAGCACCAACAACACUCUCAACUACAACCUUACCCUCAACAUCAGAAACCCUAACAAAAAGGUAGGUAUAGACUAUCGACGCAUCCUAGUCAUUGCCAACUACAGGAAAAAGAGGUUUGCUUUGGUGAUCUUCCUUCCCCAAGAACCCAAGUUAGUCAUCACCGAUGCCUCUCUCACACAAUUCAAUUUCACCAGCACCAACAACACUCUCAACUACAACCUUACCCUCAACAUCAGAAACCCUAACAAAAAGGUAGGUAUAGACUAUCGACGCAUCCUAGUCAUUGCCAACUACAGGAAAAAGAGGUUUGCUUUGGUGAGAUUGAAUUCGACACAAUUUUCCAAGGCCACAAGAAUACGACAAUUGUGCAUGCAGAUCUUCAAGGGCAGCAAUUGAUGAGGUUUGGGGAAAGUGAUCUUUCCAAGUUUAACUCGGAGACUGCUACCAGGGUGUACAGCAUUGAAGUGAAGAUUGCUCUUCGGAUAGGAAUCAGGUUCGGAAAGAUGAAGACGGGUUAUUUCAAGAUUCCACGGAAGAGUGACUGCAAGUUCAAGGUUCCUUUGAGUACUUCAAUUAAUG
rnacentral:lncRNA from 1 species